GACGAACGCUGGCGGCGUGCUUAACACAUGCAAGUCGAACGGUGAAGCACCUUCCUUUUGGUGGGUGUGGAUGAGUGGCGAACGGGUGAGUAACACGUGAGUAACCUGCCCCCUUCUUCUGGAUAACCGCAUGAAAGUGUGGCUAAUACGGGAUAUUCUGGGUCUGUCGCAUGGCGGGCCUGGGAAAGAUAUUGUUUCGGUGGGGGAUGGGCUCGCGGUCUAUCAGCUUGUUGGUGGGGUGAUGGCCUACCAAGGCGGUGACGGGUAGCCGGCCUGAGAGGGUGGACGGCCACACUGGGACUGAGACACGGCCCAGACUCCUACGGGAGGCAGCAGUGGGGAAUAUUGCACGAUGGGCGCAAGCCUGAUGCAGCGACGCCGCGUGAGGGAUGGAGGCCUUCGGGUUGUAAACCUCUUUCGCCAGUGAAGCAGGCCUGUCCCUUUUGUGGGUGGGUUGACGGUAGCUGGAUAAGAAGCGCCGGCUAACUACGUG
rnacentral:rRNA from 1 species